rnacentral:lncRNA from 10 species
CUUUGCUAUGCAGGCAUAUGUUAACUUUAGGACAUAAGAAUACUAAAAAUAAAAUAAAAAAUGCAGGAUGCUGAAGUUCAUUAUUACUGACCUGCUGGCAGGAAGCAAAAUCACUUUAAAAUACCAAUCAAUGUUUCUAUUUUCUUCCUUUGAGGAUGGUUGGACUUUGGGGAAAGAGUGAAGUGACAGAUCUUUAAGUACAAUUUGGUUUGUCUUUGUCUCCCUGCAGCUCUCAGAACAAUGCCUUCACAGAGCUAAACUCCAACAAAUAUCUACUGGUGGAACCAGUGCCAGUAUAAGUGGACGGUGAUAAAUGGACAUCCCUUUGACAUUCAGAAAACUAUGCUUUUUGCUCCUAAAACCAGUCUGUAGGGUCCAGAUGUUGCUAAAGACAAAGCUAUAUUAGAGAUGAAAGCAAACUGGGACAUCCCCAAUUGUCCCUCUGGUGGUCUUGCUGCUUCUUAGCAUCAGCCUCAAAUGAGGAGGCUGACAUGUUCAUUGCCUACUAUGGAAUGUUUCCAAGGAGGUCUGUUUGUCAUAGGUCAGCAAAGCUCAGAACCACAGGAGCAGCCAUCUACUGCUCGUGCAGAUAGAUCAGAGCCAUCUCUGUGGAGCCGUCUCUCUGCAAUUGCCUCUAUGUGCUGGCUUUUCAGUUGCCCUUCCACCAAUGCCAGCCUCCCACAAGCAUGGAAGAGGCUUGCACUGAAGUGAGAUGACCUACUGGCUCUCAUCAAAGAUUUGAGAAAGGCUUGUUCAGAAUGCUGGUCAAAGUGGACAGAGAUCUCUCUACUCUGACCAGUUUUGUUUGUGCUUUUCCUUUGAUUGCUGGGUGGCAUCUACAAACAGUCUUGACUUGUAAGGGGAGAUGGUUGCAAGCUGAGAGUGAGCUCUGUGUGGCUUUGGGGAAGCAACUCAUUGACAGCAAUGGCCCUCCUCACUCCCCUGAGAAAGGAGAUGCAACGUGGUACGUGGGGUUAGGGAGAUGAUUAGCAUUCUUGGAUCUCUGUUUCAAACUUCAGAUCCAGGCUUGUGGCCACUGUAAAUGUGUCACUCAAAUGCUGUUCACACAGAGAGGGAGUAAGAGCAAAGGUGAAGAGGAGAGAGACAGAGGGCUGAUUUCUUUGGAAGCAAACUUUAGUUUUUAAUUUAACUCAGUAAUUCUCCAACUUUAAUGUGCAUCAGAAUCACCUGGAGGGGUUUUUAAAAUGGAAAUCGUUCGGCUCCCCAAAUCAGAUUUUCAGAUUUUGCAGUUCUGAGAGACAGAAACCCAAAUUUGCAUUUCUAACAAGUUUCCAGGUGAUGCUGAUGCUGCAGAUCCGGAGACCACACACUGAGAACCACUGAUUUAGCUCAUUGCCAGCCCUCUAUUACAGAAGUUUAGGCAGUUUUGACUGAGGAGGGUGCUCAUUCAUUCAUUGAUUCGUGCACUCACCACAUAUGUAUUGACACUCUACAAAGGGCUGGCAGAACCUGGGCCUUUAUAGUGUUACAGAAUUCUCCAGGGGAUUCUGAUAUGCCCCAGCAUUUGAGAAUCACUGGUAUAAAGUAAUGAAAACACAAAGCUGUGAAUAAAAGAAUCCUUGCAUUUAAGGAGGUUAGUCUAAUUGAGGAGAGGACUGGGAAAGUGAGAGAAAAAUCAAACAAAAAAGUGAAAAUUACUAAGCAAUAUAUAACUAAUGGAUUAAUGAACUGGAUGCUCCGGGGCACCAGGGAAGAGGUGGGUGCCCAACCAGACCCAGAAGCUUGGACAGAUGUUGUCUGACAGAGGUGGAGAUAGUUUGAAUGUCUGGACAGAGCAUGGCUAUGCAGAAAACGGCAAACUGUGCCCAGAGCUUAAGGUGUGAGAAAUGAAGUGUUGUGCGGAUCCCGGAGGAUUCUGAGGACUGGUUUGGUGCUUGGGCAAGAGGAAAUACCUAAGGGAGUCAUCAAUGUAGAGACGGUGCUUGAACUAAAGGAAUGUGACAGAGAUCAACCAAAGAGAGUAGAAUAAGAAGACCAAGCAAAAGCAGACCCCUGGGAACACUCCAACUUAAGGAGUUACAGGAGGACACAUCAGAGAAGGAGAUGGGCUGAGCAGAACAGCGAAGUUACCCUCGAGUGCCUGACUCCCUGCAGACCUGCCCUCAUGAGGCAGUCAGGUGGAAUACCCCAUACUGCAGUGCCUGAGGCCCGCUCUGCCCAAGACCACCACAGACAAACCGAGGAAGGAAGAGGAUAAUUACAGAGGUUCUGUGAGGAACUGAGCCGUUGGAUAAAUUCUCAGGAAAAUGACUGAUUAAGGGGGAAGGGCAGGUCUGUGUGAGAGUGGGGCUGACAGUCUUCUAAAGAAGGGGAGAGAGGACUCAAUCAGAUGCCAACCCCAGCCUGGGGAAAGAGGAAGAAGAUGCGAAUGAUAAUGAAAUUGUGGCUGCGGAAAUUUCUAGAGAAUAUGACUCAGAAAAAUGAGAGACUAAAUCAAGACAGAGGAAAAUAUCAGAUCCAGUACAUAACAGAAGAACUGACAACUGACACUGAGGAAAGGAUUUUGGAUGGAUUUUAGAGCCACACAUUCCUGGAUUCAAAGCCCGGCUCCAAUAUAUUCCAUCAAAGGUGCAAGGAGGACAGAGAGAAGACUUUACUAGCCUAAUGACUGAGGAUGAAAUUAAAAGAAAAAUUAUUUCAGGAACCCCUGCCAAAAGGGAGCUGUCCUUGGCCAAGAGGGAUGCUCCUUGCCUGGAAUGCUGCACUCUCACUACUUCCUGGGGGCAGACAUAGCCAAUGACUGAGGGACAGAAAUGUACAAAGGCUAGUCCUUUGUCUGAAGAUGAGAAUCCUGUGGCUCGGAGAGGCGAUACAACUUGCCUGAAAGCACAAAGCUAUGAAGCAAAGGCAUUCUGAUUAUAGAGUCACGCUAUUGUACAUUAUAUGGCCUCCAAAUUGAGCACCCUGCUAGGAUUCAAAAUAUGAGUGGGAGAUGCAGACAUCUUCUUGUGAUUUAAGCACCUUAUCUUUCAUUUAGAGGCACACAUGAUUAGACUCUGUGGUGUAAAUUAAUUCAAACAAAUUGGAGGAACUGAUGUUACAAACGUAAACAAGGUUCUCAUUAAAAUCUCCCUCAUUAAUUGUUUUUAUGGUGGCUGUUUGGUUUUUGUAGCCCUUACACAUGUUCUUGCAUUUAUAUUUCAGGUUCAGAUGAAGCUCAGACUGAAGCUGUAAUAAUGCUCUUGCCUACUAGGAAACAGCAGUUGGUAAUGCAUUCCUGGAUGUUCUUUUGAUAGUUCUUUCAUGGAGGAUAAACAUGUUACCUGGAGCAAGGAUUUGCAUCUCAAGAUUUCUACCACUGAGGGGAGCAUUGAGGGUAGAUGGAGCUCAGUUCAAAGAUAGCUGUAAAAUAUUAGCAUAUAACUAAUUUUAAGAAGCUAAAAUUUCUUUAUUACAGUGUAUUUGCU